rnacentral:rRNA from 1 species
UACCAGCUCUCCGAGUGGUGUGGAUGUUUAUUGGGCCUAAAGCAUCCGUAGCUGGCUGGACAAGUCCCCUGUUAAAUCCACCGAUUUAAUCGUUGGAGUGCGGGGGAUACUGUUCGGCUAGGGGACGGGAGAGGCAGACGGUAUUUUCGGGGUAGGGGUGAAAUCCUAUAAUCCCGGGAAGACCACCAGUGGCGAAGGCUGUCUGCUAGAACGCGCCCGACGGUGAGGGAUGAAAGCUGGGGGAGCGAACCGGAUUAGAUACCCGGGUAGUCCCAGCUGUAAACGAUGCAGGCUAGGUGUUUGGGCGGCCACGUGCCGCUCUAGUGCCGCAGGGAAGCCGUUAAGCCUGCCGCCUGGGGAGUACGGGCCGCAAGGCUAGAAACUUAAAGGAAUUGGGCGGGGGAGCACCACGAAGGGGUGAAGCUUGCGGUUU